rnacentral:lncRNA from 1 species
AGAUUCUUACCUACUCAUUUGGAUAACUUUCCGUUCUAAAACUAGGAAAUAUCCAGUAUACCAUCUACAUUAGAAUAAUUGAUAAUCUGCCUAGGCAUUGGCGAAAUGCCAGAUUGAAUAUUAAGAAGAUGGUAAAAUAGUUCUGGGUCCACACUAUUUUGAGGGGAAAAAACAAAGCUAAAAAAUUCCACCUUGUUACAUGCAGUCUGGGCCACGUUUUUAGUGUUUUUCUUGUCUGGGGACAUUAACCUGUGUCAUACUCGAACUCAAUCCCAAAAAUUAAAUGUUGUUUCAUUUGCAUAGAAUACUCACCAUGAGUCUUCUACCAUCUUAAUUUUGCUCAUCUAUUUCAAGACAAAGUUAAAUAAUUGGUACCGUCUUUCUUUCCUCUCACAGAUCAUCUUAAUGUCCGCAACUCUGGAGGCACAGAAGCUAGCAACUACUUCCCAAUAAAGAUCUAUAAUGAAAUAGAGACUGUCCAGUAAUUGAUGUUGGUGAAAAGAUGAAUUAUGAUGUCAAAAUAUUUUAUUUGGAUGAUUUCAAAUCUUUGCAGACGUUAUUUCUUCAAAAUGAUAACCUGAUAGAAUUUCAUAAACCUGAUAUUGGCCUAGGAAUGUAUGAGCUUGCAAUCUACUUGUUGAAGAAUUUUGACCACAUAGAAAAGAAUGACUUGCCAAAUGGCUUAAUCAAUCCACGAGGAUAUGUUCUGGUGUUCCUUCCUGGUCUCUUGGAAUUGAACAGAUGCACCAGAUGAUAACAAAGGAUGAAACUGACACGUUAGUCUUUCCUUUUUUUCUUUUUCUCUUGUUUUUGUGUUUCACAUAUGCUUACAUUUUAAGUCAAUAAACUCACCAUCACUUGAAUAGAUUCAACAGUAUUAGCCUAACUACAUUUUAUGUUGCCAAAUUCUCUCUCAUGUUUUAUAUUUUUAACAGAGAGCUGAAGGACUAAUUUGCCUAUUUUCUUUAUCGAUUUACCUUAGAUUAUGAAGAGUAUUUCA